rnacentral:rRNA from 1 species
UACGUAGGCAGCGAGCGUUGUUCGGAAUUACUGGGCGUAAAGAGUGUGUAGGCGGUGCUCCCAGUCUGUUGUGAAAUCUCCCGGCUUAACUGGGAGGGUGCAGCGGAAACUAGAGUGCUAGAGGGUGGGAGAGGUAAGCGGAAUUCCAGGUGUAGCGGUGAAAUGCGUAGAUAUCUGGAGGAACAUCAGUGGCGAAGGCGACACCCUGGACUCAUACUGACACUGAGGUGCGAAAGCGUGGGGAGCAAACAGG